ACGCUCGACACCUACGGGGGGCAGCAGUUGGGAAUAUUGGACAAUGGAGGAAACUCUGAUCCAGUGACGCCGCGUGAAGGAAGAAGGUCUUCGGAUUGUAAACUUAUUUUGUCAGGGAAGAAAAAUGACUGUACCUGAAGAAAAAGCACCGGCUAACUACGUGCCACAGCCGCGGUAAUCUGAGCGGGCUGGCAAGGC
rnacentral:rRNA from 1 species